CAGCCGCCACGGUAAAACCAGCAGCCCAAGUGGUGGUCGCGAUUAUUGGGCCUAAAGCGCUCGUGGCCGGGCCGGUAAGUCCCUUGUGAAAUCGGACGGCCUAACCGUUCGGCGUGCAAGGGAUACUGUCGGUCUUGAGGCCGGGAGACGUCCGAGGUACUCCGGGGGUAGCGGUGAAAUGUUCUGAUCCUCGGGGGACCACCGGUGGCGAAGGCGUUCGACGAGAACGGGCCUGACGGUGAGGGGCGAAGGCUAGGGGAGCAAACAGGAUUAGAUACCCGCGUAGUCCCUGUCUCUUAUU
rnacentral:rRNA from 1 species